UAGGGAAUAUUGGUAAUGGGCGAAAGCCCGAACCAGCAACGCCGCGUGCGCGAUGAAGGCCUUCGGGUUGUAAAGCGCUUUUUAAGGAGAUGAGGAAGGACAGUACUCUUAGAAUAAGCCUCGGCUAACUACGUGCCAGCAGCCGCGGUAAAACGUAGGAUGCGAGCGUUAUCCGGAUUUACUGGGCGUAAAGCGUGUGUAGGCGGUUUGAUAAGUUGGAUGUGAAAGCUCCCGGCUCAACUGGGAGAGGUCGUUCAAAACUAUCAGACUUGAGAGUGGUAGAGGGAGGUGGAAUUCCGCAUGUAGUGGUGACAUGCGUAGAUAUGCGGAGUAACACCAGUGGCGAAAGCGGCCUCCUGGCCCAUUUCUGACGCUCAGACACGAAAGCUAAGGUAGCAAACG
rnacentral:rRNA from 1 species